rnacentral:rRNA from 1 species
GAUGAACGCUAGCGGCAGGCUUAAUACAUGCAAGUCGUGGGGCAGCAGGUUUGUAGCAAUACAGAUGCUGGCGACCGGCAAACGGGUGCGGAACACGUACAGAACCUUCCUUUGAGCGGGGAAUAGCCCAGAGAAAUUUGGAUUAAUACCCCAUAGUAUAAUGAAGUGGCAUCACUUUAUUAUUAAAGAUUUAUCACUCGAAGAUGGCUGUGCGGCUGAUUAGGUAGUUGGCGGGGUAAAGGCCCACCAAGCCUGCGAUCAGUAACUGGUGUGAGAGCACGACCAGUCACACGGGCACUGAGACACGGGCCCGACUCCUACGGGAGGCAGCAGUAAGGAAUAUUGGUCAAUGGAGGCAACUCUGAACCAGCCAUGCCGCGUGGAGGAUGAAGGUCCUCUGGAUUGUAAACUUCUUUUAUAUGGGACGAAAAAGGCUUUUCUAAGUCGUCUGACGGUACCAUAUGAAUAAGCACCGGCUAACUCCGUGCC